AACGAACGCUGGCGGCAGGCUUAACACAUGCAAGUCGAACGGUUGUAGCAAUACAGCAGUGGCGCACGGGUGAGUAACGCGUGGAUAUCUGCCUUUUGGUUCGGAAUAACUCCGGGAAACUGGAGCUAAUACCGGAUGGUUCCUACGGGAUAAAGAUUUAUCGCCAAAAGAUGAGUCCGCGUACGAUUAGCUAGUUGGCGGGGUAAUGGCCCACCAAGGCGAAGAUCGUUAGCUGGUCUGAGAGGACGAUCAGCCACACUGGGACUGAGACACGGACCAGACUCCUACGGGAGGCAGCAGUGGGGAAUAUUGGACAAUGGGGGCAACCCUGAUCUAGCCAUGCCGCGUGAGUGAUGAAGGCCUUCGGGUUGUAAAGCUCUUUUGGCGGGGACGAUGAUGACGGUACCCGCAGAAUAAGCCCCGGCUAACUUCGUGCCAGCCGCCGCCGUAACAC
rnacentral:rRNA from 1 species